AUUACGUAUAAGAAUUUGCUUAUGCAACAAACGUAAUGCUUUAAUGAAUAUUAGCUACCUCAGCUGAGGAUUGGCUAACAAAGAAUGGAGGAAAAUGUGAGAAAAUGUUUGUGUAUACUGUACGCAGAAGGCAAAAGAACUUUUUAUUAUUUUAUUAUUGUGGUACAUUAUUUUAACGAGACUACCGAGACGCAUUCCUGGACUCUAGCCAGCGUCGUAUAAAGGAUUUUUUCAUACAGGUGAAAACUGGAGGAAGGGAAAGAUUUAAUAAGGUUAAAGAGAUGUACAUAUUGUUAUUUUACCCAAGAAGAUUAGCUAGACCAUGAGUCACUUUGCUAGUCUUUUAUAGCUUGUCUGCAAGAUUUGUUCUUAAAUGAGAGAAAAAAAAAGUCCUGGAAAUUACACAGCAAAGUGAGAAGUGUCAAAAUGGAAUGGAUAAAAAUUACAAGGCAUAGGACUAUAUAGAUGAGGCCAAAAGAACACGGCAGUGAAUCUUCAGUAUCACACAAUAAUACACAAUGUAAGUAGUAUACCCCAAUAUGGGGUGGAGAGCUAAGCAAAAAGAUAGUGAAGGAAAUGGAUGAAAGAUAAAAGAGAAGAUAACAAUGCAGCUGGGGCUUAAAUGGAUGCUGCAGUGAACAUUUAGUACGCAAUUCUUACAAAACAAAAUUUUGUAUAGAAAAAUUUACUGUGCUCUCUAUCAUUUUCCCCUCAUGAGUAACUUCUUCCAGACACUUCUAGAAGAAUCUAUAAAUUUGACUCAUAGGUCUAGGUAAAUGUAUAACAUAAAGUAUUAUAAAAGCUCUGUACAUGGUGCUAAAGCAACCAAGCACAUCAUACCGCUCAUUGCUUCAGCAUCUAAGGAUUUUAAUACUACAUAAUGCUUGGGUAUUGCAUCACUUAACAUUGUCUUGAAUGAUGGAAGUUGAACUCCUGACUACUGUGGUAUUUUUCUAAAUAUUUCAAAAAUUAUACAUGGCUAAACUGAAUGCAGAACUAGAUGAUUUUACUUCAUGACUUGUGAUGGAUAUUUAAUAUACGUACUAAUAAUUUUGCUACCACAUUGUUAUUUGUGGGAAACUGUGUCUUAUCCCUGUAAAAAUUGAAUUCUAAUGCAGUAGUGACUAUUAUAACCAAGACCAUCAAAACAACCCUGUCCAUUACUCUUUUACCCAUACAGAAAUCAAGAGAAAACCUCGUAAUGAUGAUGUUUCUCUGAUGUGCUGUGUCCAUGGAAUUCUCAAGAACUUAUGCAUGUUUUGCCGGGAUGAUCCUGAAGAUCCUCAUUAUAAAAUGGGGAAGGUGUGGAGAGAACGUGUGACCUGUAAAAAGCCAGGCGAAAUAAAGUGGACUGUUGAAUCAUGUAUAGAAAAGGUAAGGAAGCGAAAUCCGUUUGGCGUAUAUUCUUACAAGAAAUAUGAAUCAGAUGAAGAAGAGGAGGAUGAGGAAAGCAUGAAAUCACUUGACAAGAUGAACCUUAUUCUAGAUGAGCAUGGUAAACCAGUUGGAACUCGAGAGAGGUUUCAAACUCCUCCUCCCGCACCACUAACUUCAAAAGGGCUGACCAUGGAGCUUGGUAUCAAGCAUUAUUCCAGACACCAGACAAAGCCAAGAGCAAUGUUUACUUUCCAGUGUUUACAGGAAGUUCGGCGUUCCGAAUUUAGUAGUCAUUAUCAGAAUGUUCACAGUGAGAUUCAGGAGGGUCUAGAGGGAUGGCUUCUCCACAGAUGUCCUUUACACUUGAUUGGAUGUCCGUAUUCCUGUGUCAUGCUCCAUCCUGGGAGGAAGGAUGGUGAUGUGAUAUAUUGUGAUUCCCUCAAAGCAUUUGGUGUUCGACCAAAGUUAACUUAUGAACCUGCAUCAUGCGGAGGCCUUCCCAGAUCCCGGUCUCCAAGUGUUGAAAAAACUUCCAGCAGCUUUAGUCAGAUGAGUCUAACACCAUCGAAAAGAACAUUAAAACCUAUACCAGAAGGUCAUGGAAACCGUCACCUACAGGUGGAACAUUAUUAUGCAUCUAGUUUACAUUUGACGUAUUUGCCGUUCGAGGUAUUGCUACGAAUUGCCAGCUUCUUAGAUGGUUUUAGCUUGAACAAUUUAUCAUUAUCAUGCCGACUGAUGAGAGAUAUAUGCUUUUCUUUGCUAAAUGAGCGUGGACUUAUCGUUUUAGAAUGGAUACGGUAUAUUGAAGAUGGGAAAGUACGGUGGAGACAAGGGAAAAAGAGAUGUUUCUUCAGCAAGUCUUUCGAACCCAUAGAUCAAUGGGGUUUCAAGUCUGUAUCUCAUAUGGCCAACCACUUGAAAGUGUGUCCUUUUAAUGUUCGACACAUUGCCGAAAACAAAUUCACAUAUGGUCAUUUCAAGAGACCUCGCAAGCCAGCUACGUAAAAGCUUUCAUACCACUUUCAUCUGUUUGCCGAUGUUCACUAGGUAACAUGGAACUCAUUUGUCUGAAUGCCUUAACUAGCGACAAGCUGCCAUAGAAACUGCCAAUCAUCGACCUUAACUUGGGAUUACUCCAAGUAGAAGAAUAUCCAAAAGGAAGUAGUAAAGUGAAUAACUUCUGUUUUACACCAAGCUCUGUGUUCUGACCAUUGUUGUAUGUAUCUUAUUUGUAUUAGUACACCUUCAGCUUAUGGAACUUGUGAGGAUUUACAACUAAAAUUCAAGUAUCCGUUUGGAAAUAUAGUUUUUAGAUUUAACUAAAUAAAUCUAAAAAUAUAUGCAAAUAACCCAUGAUGCCAUAGUUGGGGUUACUACAUGUUGGUCCAGCCACAUGAAUGGAAAAGAUUUUUGACAAGCACUUACAGUUCCAUUUUAUUUAAUUAGUGCUAGAAUUCAGUGAGAUUGAUAAGAUUUUAUCUGAGACAAUUCAAGGUCUUUUUGAACCUUUCAUAUCAAUCCUCAGCUGUUUGUCACGUUCAGUAGUAACAAUCAAAAAGCUUGCUAGUGUAUUAUGAGACACCAGACUGCAAUUUAAGUAUUCAUUUACACCUUGGGAAAUAUUUCAGGCUAUUAUCCAAAAUGUCAAAAAUAAUGAAGGUACUAAUUGUAUUUCUGCAUAUUCUGUGGAGUUAGAAUGGGAGUCAUAUCUCACUAGGGCCUUUUCUAAAACUAAAGAUUCAAAAUCUUGAUCUUGAUACUGGGUUUCCCUCUGAACUCUGAAUAGAAUAAUCUACAACUCAUUCUUUUUCCAUAUAAUUUGAGUACUGAUUGAUAUUAAAAUAAAUCGCUAGAAAUAUUGUUUGGCUUGAUUCAAGUUUAAGUUUAGGUGAAUUUAAUACAAAGAUGAGAUGGUUAGGUGAUGGACCCAGUGUCUUACCUUGUGAAUAUCCAGCAAUACUGCUGCAACAUGGCAUCUCAGGAAGUGUUGAGAAGCCAGUGUUUCAAUUUUCCUUACCACCAUCAUUAAUAUUUUCAUGUUGGAGGUCCCUGGCUCAGUAUCCAUUCUGUCCAGGUCUGUACAUACUCUUACUUUAUGAUUUCCUGUGCCUUUCUUGUUUUAAAUCACUGUUUUCGUUAGAAUUGUCUGAAAAAAAACCCUAUCCUAUUUAUGCAAAGACUAAUAGGAAAAGCAAAAAAUUUCUUUUGUCCAGCUUAGGUCUAAGAACACAAGAAUACUGAGGAUAAAGAAUGGAAAAAGGAGCUUUGUACGUAGGCUGAAGCUAUUAAUAGUUAGGACGGAAUUAGCCACUGUCUCAUAGAUGCCUCAUACGUACUAUGAAUUUAUUUUUAAUAUACCAUAGCCCAAGACCCAUCAUCAUGGUAUUGUAGUUGCUGUACUGUAGGAAUACAAAAAGGAAUAAUAUUGUGUAGCAAAAAUGCCUAACUAUAGACUCCUGGUUUAUGAUGUUCUGUUUUCAUACCCUGUAAGUGCCAAGGAAGUUUUAAACCAGACAUGAAAUGACUCAAAGCUGAAAACAAAUAUUACAAUAUUUAGUUUUUUUCAGGUUUUGUGGAUUUUAUGGUAUAUAUAAGACAAAAUUUAACUUAAUCACUUAGUCUCAGCUUGUAGUUACAAAUGGUAGUGAACCUAAUCCAAAGUUAACGACAGAUUUAUUACAAAGCAUUAGGAAUUCACAUUAAUUUCAGUACAAAUAGGCUUGCUUUAGAAAUUAAAUAACAUGAAUUUUUAUUACAUAUUAUAUAACUGUUUGCUUGAAGUAGAGUAAUAUAAAUUUUUGAAAGGAAUUAAUAACUAUGAAUUUUUAAGAUCUGACAGAAAAGUUUACGGGUGUUAAUGGAAACAUUUUACAAAUCUGUAGGAUUGUAAUACACCAUGUAAUAAUAAAUCAUGGCUAAUGAAUUACAAUCUUCUUGAGCUUGAAAAGUAUUUAUUUGCCCCGGUGAUGAAUGGUAAGCAUAGUACAGUGCUGUAUUUUCAAAUUUCCAGUACACAAAGAGAAUGAUGUUAUUUGUACUUCCAGCCUCGAAAACUGUACAUAAAAAGAUGAAAACAGUUUUCAUAUUUCAUGAGUACAAAGUUCUUUCUUCACUUAUGCAUCUUACUUGGCUUCAUCAUAGCUCAACUGAGUGUUUGAGUUUUUCUUGAAAGAAGAUUUUCUUUGGCAUUCUUUAACUAAGGUGGAACCUCACCCCAACUCUGCCAAAUGUUCUGAAGAUUUUAUCUUAAUCCUCUAUGAGUUAAAGCUCAAAACUUAGCAAUUUGUGGGACUAGGAGGAAGGAUGUCCACUUAAAAUAAAGAGGUUUGUACCUAAGAAACACGAAUGGUAUUAAAAUUUUCUUGUUCAAUUACAGACAAAACUGAAUGUGCAGUCACCAAUGAGGUGGGAGAUCUAUUGGUUUUCUACUGGUUGAGAGAUGGCUAUAAGAACCAGGAAACCUUUGUUGAAAUAAUAAUCUACUUUGACCAGCACUGUUAGAUGCUCACUCAACCAGUGUUAUUUCAAAAUUUACCUUGAACACUGAGUACUAAUAUUAAAUAUAUAUAUAGAAAACUGCCAGACAUGAGUCUGAGUCUCUGCACCUAGGUCUACAUGGUUCUGUCUUAGAUAGUGUUUUAGGGUUCUUAGUAGAGUAUAAAAUGUUCUUUAAUCCAGCCCUCGUUUAUGUCAAAUGUCUGGUUUUGCCCUAUAGAAGACCAUUCUCGUGUGGGUAACAUUGAUGAAAAGUAGUUAUAACAAGCAUAUAUUUAUUGUAUUGUUUGACAGUAGAGAGGCCUGAAAGCCACUUGCUUUAGGAUUUUGAUAAAAGUUCCCUUUUAAAGUUCUGAGAAUCAGCAUAAGGUCCCACUUUGAUAUCUCUUUUUCAAGAUUACUCAAAACAGCUCCUGUCUCUGGUGAGUUAGUUAAAUUGGUGCCUAAUGUCAGCAAAACUAGAAUUGAGAUACAGAUCAGAUUUUGACCUCCCUUAGGGAGAAGACAUGUGAUUAUACUGGAAAAGAAAUAGAGAGGAAAUACAAUAACUUUCUUGCUCUGCACUAAUUGUGUGAAAGUGCCUACUUCGCAUAGGAUGUCUGGUAGCAUGUGUAACACAUCAUGGAACGACUCCUCUUGUUCCUGGUAUGAUAUUAUCAGGGUCAGAGUCAGUCAUCUAGAAGCAUGUAUUUAGUUGUUGGUGGUGGUGGGGUCUCAUGAAGGAGAAUAAUGGGAAGACAAGUGCUUGCAAGUUGUCUCAGUUGUGGCUCAACAUCAUCUGUCUCCCAAUGGAACUAGGAAUGGAAGAAUUAUGUUCAUAGCUUCUUGCCGAGUGACAAUGCUAGCAGGUUAAGUCUACCACUGGUGUUCACAAAAAGCUCCGGAGUUGCUUUCAUACUUCUGGGCACAUCAACCAUUCCGUAUUUGUCAUUAGAUUCUUCCUGCUCAAGGAAUUGGACAUAAUGUUUUUUUUCUUUGAACAAAGAUGGUCAUCAGGUUGACAUUUCUUCUGCCCACAAUGUAUCUUGAGGGCUUUGGUUAAGCUGUCCACCAUGAGUGUGAUAAUCUUGUUCACUAUGAUUUCUGCAAGUUAGUGUAAGCUUUUCUUUUAGGCACUUGAAAUUCCAGCCAUCUUUCAAUGGCUUCAGAGGACAUUGAAUAUGAGCUAGGGGACUAUGGCGAGUUGAUCAGCAUUGCUCUAUGGUUUUUUCUUAAAGGGCAGUGGUCAUAACUGGGGGAAUCUGUCCAUAACUAUAUAUACUGAAGCCAUUCUAGUAACCUGAACUAACAUGGUUUUACACUGUGUCUGCCAACUCCUAGCUGCUUACAAACAAGCCUCACUUGUUAUGGCAUAAUCAGCUGAUUAAGAUGGGGUGUUAGUAGUCUGCUACUAGCAUCUCCUCAUCUAGCAGGGAACCUAGAAAAAAACCUGGGGGAUUUAGGUAUGUGUGAGGGUUAAUAAAUAUAUGCAAAUAGAUAUGUUUGGUUGAAUGAGUUUGGGUUUCAGAUUGUCUCUGUAGUGUGGAUUAAAAAAAAAUACUCCCUGACCUUUUGGUGUAAUGAGAACUCCAGUAACCUGAAAAUAACCAACUUCAUGAUAGUAUGCUCAACAAAAGUAGAGGUUUAAAGGUUCUGGUAACUGGAUCUUAACUUAAUCCAUCAGUCAUAGGGACUUAAAUAGGUUAAGUUCUAUGACGUAGCUCUUGAGCGUGGGGGUGUAAUCUUAAAGUUAUGGUCAGCCUCUAUGGCAAAGUUUUUGAUUGGGCAAUAGUGUUUAAGAUCUAUGAUCCUCCUGGCCUGCCACAUUUUCCUUUAGUGUGAGUGUCACAAGCCAUCCUCCAUGGAUUCUGAACUUAUAAUAUAGUUGCUCACUAUUGUUCCAUAGUUCUCCCAGAUGUUGCUCAUGGAUUUAUUAAAAAAAUCUCCAGUUCUUGUGCCACCAGUGACACUGGGGUUUUAGAUGAAGAUAGCUUCACGAGUGUCAUUAUUGGCAGUCCUACUAUUCAUAUGAUGGUAGAUGAAGUAAGCAUUCUUGGUUGACAAUUGACAAGUGAAGAAACAUGUCUGAUUCUGUGGCUCAUCAUGACUUUUAUAGUGCUCAUCUUUUUGGUGAACUGGUUCCUCCAUGGUUUAUCUUGUUUGUUUCAAGGAAUAUGAAUUAGAAGAGGGUGUGUCCAAGUUCAGCUUAAUUCCAGUGUUCUGUUGUUUUGACUGUCUGUUGAUCCUCUGAUUUAUCUGGAUAUGUCUGCAUUACAUUCCAACCAAAGGAAUUGCUUCAUUGUUUUGUCAUCUGUUAUCAGUGUCGUCCUUGAACCAAAAGUCAGUAAUUGCUGAUUAUUCAAACUGUAAUGCAUAUGACAGUUGGUCAUUGAAUUAUAGUGUUCCAGUGUUGGUUGUUACCAGAACCUAGAUGGGUCAUAGUCAACUGGUGGGUCCCCGAAUGAGUCAGUGCCUGUUAUUUGAUGAACAUGUUGCAGCAAUUGUUCAUGAUGUUCUGAAGUGAUAAGUAGUUAUAGUAAGUUGAGGAUGACCAGUCUACUGGUGCAUUCUACCGAUAUAGCAUGGUGAGAUCAAAUUAUUUAUUUUGGUAUAUGGCUUAAAUCCAAAGCUAGUUAGUUAAUUUUUGCAUGUUGUGGCCAUUGUUUGUGGUGACAAAGUCAGCCUUGUCUCCCUUUGCUAAUACACAGAUCAAGCUGCUACAAGACUCUGUGUUGAAGUUGUUGUACAGUAAAAUUGUUUCUUUUCCACAGCUAUCUGUGUACAGAAAAUAUCUUCCUAUUGUACUGUGCUCUAACCAUUCCCUUUAGCAACAGAUAGCCAGUUUACCACCUCUUCUUUCAUGAAGAGCCCCAUCACUUGGCUAUUUUCAUUCAUGGGCAAAAUGCAUAAGUUAAAUAAGAGGUUUGUCCCUGUAAGAAAACUGGGAUUUCAUAGGUUUCCAAACAUUGUAAAAACACUGAGUGUCAAUAUAUUACUGUGCUGUAGAGUUGGCCUAUAAAGGAAGGGUUUCUUAAACUAUUCCCAAAGAACUGCUUUAACUCCAUUCAUGAAUAAGCUUAUGUAUAAUUUUACAACAUUCUCUCUUAUGGCCUCAAGUUUGCUGUAAUUUUUUUUUUACCUUGUCAUUGAUCCUACAGAAAACCUAGUGUUAAGGUAUUUUUGGACUAGGUUUUACAAUAUUUGGGUGCUUUUAAGUUUUUUUCUAUAUGGACAAUAAUUCUACUAUUGGGAUAAUUUUUCUAAAAUUUGACAAAACUUUUGUGAUGAAGCAUAUUCUAAAAGAAAAUGUAUAGCUUCAAAAUAUUGUCAACUGAACUAAUGAUAUUUUUAUUAUCAAUUUCAUGGGGCAUCUCUUCAUCUUGAAUGCAAACUGUCCACAUAUUGCUAGCACAGAGCUGACAUGGUACAAUGUACUAGUGGUCAUUGUCAUCAUCAUCUAGCUCAGUAAAGUUUUUGUCAGGUUUCUAUUACAGAUAUUUUAUGACUUUAUCUUUCUCUUUCCUCUUUCCUGUGGCCUUUCCACCUUAAUUCUCCUCAGAUUCAAGUGUUCAUCAAUGCUUUUUCUCCACAAUCUUCUGGGUUUUCUAAUUGGUGGAUAUCCAGUUAAUUUCAUGGCUAACACUUCAAGUAACUCUUCCUCUUUUUUUAUUACAAGGUAGACCAUCUAUUAUCUAUUUCCCAUUUUCUGGAAACCACAUCUUUCCACCACUGGUUUUGCAUAAUAUUGCUCAGAUAUCACAUAUGCCAAAUACAGUGAUUGAAAGAACAUUAAUUAUUGAUGUACAAUACUAUAUUUAACAGAUGCAUUUGCAAGUCAAUAUAUUUUCUCCAAACAGUUUAAAAUAUUUUUUGCACAGUGCAACAGAAAAAUCAUUUGAAGUGUAUUAAAGUACUGUGCUGGCAAAUGUUUGUCCUGUGUUAGCUCUGUGCUCCAAUUAGCUGGAUUGCAUCACUGGGGAAAUAUGUGUUAUUCUUGACUGUUGAGAAGAUACAGGUAUUCCAAUGUUGUUACUAUAUACUUUGCAAUUUGUUCUCUUGUGGACAUGUAUACCAAAUGCUUGUGUUGAUAUUGCUUAUCUCAAUAUGGAAGGUGCCUAGAAAAUAUAUUUUAUGUAAACUGUGAUAAUAGCACAUUGUAAGUAAUAAAAUAUUUUGCUCUUACAUUAUAUAAAACAAAUUUAUUUCCAAAAUUUUGUCAUGUGUCUUGAGUACUGGAGUUGACAACUCCAGUAAUUUUGGAAGACUUUUAUCAAUAAACAUAAAAAUAAA